AGAAUCUGCCUAUGUCACAAAUGAGUAGGUGUUGGUCGCAUGAUACGCGAACGGACUGCUUCUGUCAUGUGGAGUGUUUAGUGUUAUGUAAGGUCAGUGUGGCCGAGGCAGUGUGUUUUUGAAAUCCCGAGAUGAACUACCGUAGUGUUGUAAUACGAGAAAAGGCGUACGAGGACGUACGAUUGUCAAUAUGGCCGUGUUAGACGUAACUUUGGUUUAGUAUUUUGUGGAUGAAUAGUUGUCAUUAUUUCAUGUCAGAACAUGAUUAGCUUCUUAGAUUAAAUAAUGUGAGUACAAAAAACUGAUUUCUUAAUAAAACAGUUAAAAUCUACGAGAACCUUCGAGAACCUCCGAGAAUCUACGAGAACCUUCGAGAACCUCCGAGAAUCUACGAGACCCUCCGAGAAAUCUAUGAGAACCAACCUCCGAGAAAUCUACGAGAACCUCCGAGAAAUCUACGAGAACCUUCGAGACUCUCCGAGAACCGACAAAAAACAUGCCAAGAUUAUAACUUGACAUUGUUACAGACUUUUACAACGAGGCUGGUGCAGAGCGCGCACCGCCUGUCAGUAUGGCCGUGUCGGCGCAACGACAAUAAACGACUACCGUCAAACUACUAAAUAAUUAUAACUAGCUAAAGUUUACUUAAAUCUUUUUAAAUAAGUGGUUAAAUUAACGAAAUAAUUAAUGUUUGUUAAAAAUGAUAAAAAUUCAUUGCAAAAAUUAGAGUGGCAACACUCUCAAACUAAUUCUUGUGAGUCAUGGUUUAAUUUAAAUACGAGCGUCCGACGGCACAGAGCACAUUCACGCGCCGGCCGUUGGAGCGUUCGGAGCUCUCUCUGUAAUUACGACGUGGAAUAAAAGGGCAGUAAAAAUACCUACAGGCGUUCUACUUCGAGUAUGAGCGCCUGCCCUGAUGAUGGUGACGUCAGAAUUGCUGACGUCACUCUUUUAAAAAUGGCCUUCGGGCCCUUUCUUCCGUCAUCAGAAGUUGGAUAGAAUUCAAGCUCACUCUUUUUAAAUUUUAAACGUUUACGUAGUUUUGUAACGGCAUACUGGCGUUUGUGUUUUUCUCGUGCGUUGUGUAAAGUAAAAGUUUGUUACGUGGAUUAUUGUAACGGGAGUGUGGUUCAUCGAAGGAAUUGUGCGUGCUAUCUGCGCCUCUCUUUGUGAUAAGCAUAAAUCUACGAGAACCUCCGAGAAAUCUACGAGAACCUCCGAGAAAUCUACGAGACCCUUCGAGAAUCUGCCUAUGUCACAAAUGAUUAAAAUCUACGAGAACCUUCGAGAACCUCCGAGAAUCUACGAGAACCUUCGAGAACCUCCGAGAAUCUACGAGACCCUCCGAGAAAUCUAUGAGAACCAACCUCCGAGAAAUCUACGAGAACCUCCGAGAAAUCUACGAGAACCUUCGAGACUCUCCGAGAACCGACAAAAAACAUGCCAAGAUUAUAACUUGACAUUGUUACAGACUUUUACAACGAGGCUGGUGCAGAGCGCGCACCGCCUGUCAGUAUGGCCGUGUCGGCGCAACGACAAUAAACGACUACCGUCAAACUACUAAAUAAUUAUAACUAGCUAAAGUUUACUUAAAUCUUUUUAAAUAAGUGGUUAAAUUAACGAAAUAAUUAAUGUUUGUUAAAAAUGAUAAAAAUUCAUUGCAAAAAUUAGAGUGGCAACACUCUCAAACUAAUUCUUGUGAGUCAUGGUUUAAUUUAAAUACGAGCGUCCGACGGCACAGAGCACAUUCACGCGCCGGCCGUUGGAGCGUUCGGAGCUCUCUCUGUAAUUACGACGUGGAAUAAAAGGGCAGUAAAAAUACCUACAGGCGUUCUACUUCGAGUAUGAGCGCCUG